rnacentral:tRNA from 1 species
AAUUCUAUAUUCAAAUAUGAUAUUAAAUUGCAAAUUUAAAGGUAAAAUUGUAUGUUUUUAGAAUUU